rnacentral:rRNA from 1 species
AACGAACGCUGGCGGCAGGCUUAACACAUGCAAGUCGAGCGCCCCGCAAGGGGAGCGGCAGACGGGUGAGUAGCGCGUGGGAACAUACCCUUUCCUGCGGAAUAGCUCCGGGAAACUCGAAUUAAUACCGCAUACGCCCUACGGGGGAAAGAUUUAUCGGGGAAGGAUUGGCCCGCGUUGGAUUAGCUAGUUGGUGGGGUAAAGGCCUACCAAGGCGACGAUCCAUAGCUGGUCUGAGAGGAUGAUCAGCCACAUUGGGACUGAGACACGGCCCAAACUCCUACGGGAGGCAGCAGUGGGGAAUAUUGGACAAUGGGCGAAAGCCUGAUCCAGCCAUGCCGCGUGAGUGAUGAAGGCCUUAGGGUUGUAAAGCUCUUUCUCCGGAGAAGAUAAUGACGGUAUCCGGAGAAGAAGCCCCGGCUAACUUCGUGCCAGCCGCCGCCGUAA